GUCUAUGGCUAUGCCACCCUGAAUGAGCCUGAUGUCUGAUCUCAGAAGCUAAGCAGGGUUGGGCCUGGUUAGUACUUGGAUGGGAGACCCCUAAGAAGGCCAGGUGCUAUAGGCA
rnacentral:rRNA from 1 species